AACCUCUCAAGGGUGGAUCCUGUGAGUUCCUGGCUAAAGCAGUGACUGAGGUUAAGAGAGUGAGAAAAAAUGAGAUUGCUACCUGAUUGGCCGACAAGGAAAGGAGUCGGGCAUUCACAAGGGUCCCUCUUCAGGGGUCUCAGUCCAGAGUGAACCUUACCUUCUGUCUGUUGCUCUUUUAUUUUACCUCAGACUUGAAUUUGGGAGGCGUCCUUUUAUUUCCUAUUGAUGAUAAAGAGUCAAGAAACAGUGGGCAAGAUUUGUUGGCCUUGAUUGUGGCUCAGCACCGUGACCACGCAAAUGUCCUGUCUGGCAUUAAGAUGGCAGCCCUAGAAGAGGGCCUGAAGAAGAUCUAUUUAGCAGCAAAGAGAAAGAAAGCAAGUGUUCAUCUUCCACGCAUUGGACAUGCCACGAAAGGUUUUAACUGGUAUGGUACUGAGCGACUUAUUCGGAAACAUCUGGCUGCGAAAGGCAUCCCAACUUACAUAUAUUACUUUCCUAGAAGCAGGGCAGCUGUUCAUCCACCAUCCUCUUCUUCCCCAGGACAGCUGGCACCUUAACAGUUGGCCAGUAUCACAGUCAGCAUUCAGCAAACAGUUAAUAUUUGCCCAGAGCUACUGAAUUAGAGUGUUUCAAAAAAGAGUCUGGAUCUGGUGGGCCUCUGAGAUACUGUGUUUUCUGAAUUCUCAUUUUGUUCUCAGGAUGUGUUACUCUGAUUUGGUACCUGUAAUACAGGGAUGCACACCUUAAUUGGGAAAGUCCUCUGGCUGUUUGCCAGGGCUUCCAUUUGCAUAGCUAUUUGCGUAAUAAAAAUUUUUCUAUCUCUAA